rnacentral:misc_RNA from 1 species
UAUACUUCCGCCACGUAAAGGAUGUUUUCGCGGAUUUUUCUUUUCUCGAAAUGCAUUCAUCAGUAGCAAUUAACGUUUGCUUUGCGUUUUUCUGAAAUAUGCCGCAGCGAAUAUUAUAAAUGGACAUGUCGGACCCAACCAUGAGGCGUUACGUUUUAAUGCAGAAGGACUCUUCCAUGUGAUUUGGGACUUGCCGCCAGAAGCUUUGAAUACAAAACUUAUUCCGCGAAGAAAACAUCAAAACAAACCUUACUUCAAGUUAAAAAGAACUAUGGAUGUGAAACAGAUAUGACAAAGGGGAGGUAACUCUGCUUGUUGCCAACAUGAACUGCAGCAGCUUGUCAGAGGUGUCCAGUCUCCACGAUGCUGCGGACAGUCCAUCAACUGACAUCUCGAGGCUGCUCAACCCGUCCCUGUCUGAUGACAAAGCAGAUCAGAUCUCUUCUGAUAUUGGCUUGGACUUUGGUGAAUCCUCCAAAUUUGACCCAGAUUCAGUUUUAGGAUCUUCCUAUUCUUUGGUCAGAGAAGGUGAUGACCCUGAUGACCUUGAACUAUCAAUAACUCCAAAUUUUGAGACAGGUCUGUCAUGUAGCCCACCAUCUUGUUUUGACAAUGUCUCAGUCUCAUCAGCUUCAGCUAUUUCAGCCAGUAAUAGCUCCUUGCCGAUUUCUGUCACGUCAGCCAUCCCAUCAUUAACAGCUGCCUCAACAGGAGGCUCCAGCCAUGGUCAUGUUCCAGGGGUCCAGCUUCUCAGUCCUCUGAAUGCUGGACCAGUUGUGAUAGGGAACAUGACCGCCCAGACACUGGUGUCCGCAGUGCUAAAUGCCAAGAAGUCCGAGUCUCCGCAGUCCGGGAUGAAUUCUGUGUCCGUAACACCAGCAGCUGCAGGAAUCUGGGUGCUGAACACUCCACCAAUCAGCAUCAACCCAGACAUUCUCAAUCUUGUCAAGCCGGUAACGCUUCCAUCGUCUGUACAGACAAUGGCUACUGCUUCGGGGCAGGAUGUGGUUAAGGUUGGUUCAGACGACACCUGCAAGAGUAGUGCAUCCUAUACAGAAACUGUGACUGUACCGAUGCCUUCUUCUUAUUGCCAGACCUCUCUUGGGAGUAGUCUGCUUGGUAAAGAACAUUCAAACAAGGAUGUGAUACAUUUUCCAUUUGGAGCUUCAGGUUCUUCUAAAGGUGUUGCCAACAUGACAGAAGCUACGGAGGUGUCUAGUGCUCUACAAGAAGGGACACACAUGGUGUUGAAGUCGCAAGACACACAUGAAGCUAAUCCUACCUCAUUCCUUAGACUAGAAGACAUUCUUAUGAAAAACAAUUGCUCAGGUUCGACAAACUUAAUUCAAACAGAAAUACCUCGGGUUGUCUCAGACAGUGAUAUGGACAAAAGCUCAGUGAAACGCAUGGUUCUUUCAAAAUCUGAAGGUUCAGAGUCCAAUUCUUUUUCAGAGCUGUUCAGUUUUCAGGACUUGCCAUCAAAUGCAGGAGUGACCCAAACAAAACAGCUGUCAGACUGCCUCCCUCUGACCAACCUACUGACUCUAACUCCAGAUCAGCCAAUCCUCCAGUGUUCAUCAUCCGAGGAGCUCCAGGAGGUCGAGGACAGGGCAUCAUCGAAAGAAGCACAAAAGGAAAACAACUCAAAUGACACUAAAGAACUUUCAAGGACAGUUGAGAUGAGGAAACACUGUGCUCCUUCAACUCUGAUAAUUGAGGGUCUUCAGGAAGGGUCGAGACUGGUCAAGGAACUGCCGUCUCAUAAAGUUCCCAUUCUUCCGAAAGAUACGGAUGGGAAAGAGGUGAAGGUGACUGUGCCCAUCAUGUGUGAGGAGAAAUCAACACCGGUGUUAGUACAUCUUAUACGUAAUAGUGCUUUUUCCAGCAAAGAUGUUUUAUAUUGUCAGAACAUCACAACAACUCUGACGGAAGACCUCGGCCAUGAGAUUACCGAUGCUGAUCUGGAUGACUCUGUGGAUGACUCGUUAGAUACAGAGGUUGUUGAUAUGGAUGCAGAGAAGGGGGACAGGCAGAGACAGGGCAAAGAGGAGCCACCUCUUCAAUUAGCUGACAUUGUUCCACAAACUUCACCAACAAGGAAAAAGUAUAAACGAGUUGUGGACAAGGAAAAAGUGUUCAAGUGUGACUUGUGUAGUGCACAGUUUGAUGUUCUGGGGAAUUACACGCGGCAUCGGAAAAUCCACAAGGUUAACAAUGAGAACAAGUACAAGUGUCCGACCUGUGAGCUGAGCUUCAUCCAGAGAUGUGACAUGAAGAGGCAUAUGCUGAUCCACACAAAGCAGGAGCCUCACAAGUGUCAAGUGUGUGGCAAAGGCUAUAUCCGGAAGAGUGACUUGGUCGUACACAUGCGGUUCCACAGCAAAGAUCGACCAUUCAAGUGUACACAGUGCUCAAAGGACUACUACCAGUCAGGUGAUUUAAAACGUCAUAUUCGGGCAAUACACAGCCAAGAGAGCAUGUUAUCCUGCGGUCACUGUCGUCGACAAUACGCGAAGGAAGCGACGUUGAUCCGUCACAUGCAGACUGAGCACAAAGACAUCAUCCUGAAAUCACUGAAGCAGAAACUGGCAGACGACAAGAAUAAAGAUGACAGCCCCAUGGAUCAAGAUGAAUCAGUGGAAAGCAGCAGCUGAUUGGGAGUGUAUGUUUGUUGCAGGUUUCCUUUCAACUUGAUUUGAUGUUAUUACUGUCACACUUUCAGAUGAACUCAUAUUUAUAUUAGAAAGCUAUCCACCCUUUACCAACUGCAGGCAGUUUUCUAGCAAAAUAACUAAGGCUACAGAAAGUUGACUGGAUAAGGUCUAUAGCCACAGAAAGUUGACUGGAUAAGGUCUAUAGCCACAGAAAGUUGUCUGG